rnacentral:rRNA from 1 species
GUCGAACGCAGUAGCAAUACUGAGUGGCAAACGGGUGAGUAUAAUGUGGGAAUCUGCCUUUUGGUUUGGAAUAACACGGGGAAACUUGUGCUAAUACCGAAUAAGCCCUUACGGGGAAAGUUUUAACGCCGAAAGAUGAGCCCGCACUUGAUUAGCUAGUUGGUAAGGUAAAAGCUUACCAAGGCAAUGAUCAAUAGCUGUUCUUAGAGGAAGACCAGCCACAUUGGGACUGAGACACGGCCCAGACUCCUACGGGAGGCAGCAGUGGGGAAUCUUGCACAAUGGGGGAAACCCUGAUGCAGCGAUGCCGCGUGAGUGAAGAAGGCCUUUGGGUUGUAAAACUCUUUCGUCGGGGAAGAAAAUGACUGUACCCGAAUAAGAAGGUCCGGCUAACUUCGUGCCAGCAGCCGCGGUAAUACGAAGGGACCUAGCGUAGUUCGGAAUUACUGGGCUUAAAGAGCUCGUAGGUGGUUAAAAAAGUUGAUGGUGAAAUCCCAAGGCUCAACCUUGGAACUGCCAUCAAAACUUUUUAGCUAGAGUGUGAUAGAGGUAAGUGGAAUUUC